GUGUUUACUUCAGUAGCACAUAUACAAAAAUUGCAGUGAUGCAGAGAAGCUUAGCAUGACCUUUGUGCAAGAAUAACAUGUACAUUUGUGUACUUUAUUUUUUUUUA
ensembl:snRNA U6 U6 spliceosomal RNA